UACGUAGGGUGCAAGCGUUGUCCGGAAUUAUUUGGGCGUAAAGAGCUCGUAGGCGGUUUGUCGCGUCGGCUGUGAAAGCCCGGAGCUCAACUCCGGGUCUGCAGUCGAUACGGGCAGACUUGAGUGUUGCAGGGGAGACUGGAAUUCCUGGUGUAGCGGUGAAAUGCGCAGAUAUCAGGAGGAACACCGGUGGCGAAGGCGGCCUGCUGGCAGUAGCUGACGCUGAUGCGCGACAGCGUGGGGAGCAAACAGG
rnacentral:rRNA from 1 species